GGGCUCGCUUUGGCAGCACAUAUACUACAAUUGUAAACGAUACAGAGAAGAUUAGCAUUGGCCCCUGCCCAAGGAUGACACACAAAUUCGUGAAGUGUUCCAUAUUUUG
ensembl:snRNA U6 U6 spliceosomal RNA